rnacentral:rRNA from 1 species
AUGCAAGUCGAACGGCUAGCACAGAGAGCUUGCUCUCGAGGUGACGAGUGGCGGACGGGUGAGUAAUGUCUGGGAAACUGCCUGAUGGAGGGGGAUAACUACUGGAAACGGUAGCUAAUACCGCAUAACGUCGCAAGACCAAAGAGGGGGACCUUCGGGCCUCUUGCCAUCAGAUGUGCCCAGAUGGGAUUAGCUAGUAGGUGGGGUAACGGCUCACCUAGGCGACGAUCCCUAGCUGGUCUGAGAGGAUGACCAGCCACACUGGAACUGAGACACGGUCCAGACUCCUACGGGAGGCAGCAGUGGGGAAUAUUGCACAAUGGGCGCAAGCCUGAUGCAGCCAUGCCGCGUGUAUGAAGAAGGCCUUCGGGUUGUAAAGUACUUUCAGCGGGGAGGAAG